GACGAACGCUGGCGGCGUGCUUAACACAUGCAAGUCGAACGGAAAGACCCUGCUUUUGUGGGGUGCUCGAGUGGCGAACGGGUGAGUAACACGUGAGUAACCUGCCCUUGACUUUGGGAUAACUUCAGGAAACUGGGGCUAAUACCGGAUAGGAGCUCCUGCUGCAUGGUGGGGGUUGGAAAGGUUCGGCGGUUGGGGAUGGACUCGCGGCUUAUCAGCUUGUUGGUGGGGUAGUGGCCUACCAAGGCUUUGACGGGUAGCCGGCCUGAGAGGGUGACCGGCGACAUUGGGACUGAGAUACGGCCCAGACUCCUACGGGAGGCAGCAGUGGGGAAUAUUGCACAAUGGGCGGAAGCCUGAUGCAGCAACGCCGCGUGCGGGAUGACGGCCUUCGGGUUGUAAACCGCUUUCGCCUGUGACGAAGCGUGAGUGACGGUAAUGGGUAAGGAAGCACCGGCUAACUACGUG
rnacentral:rRNA from 1 species